rnacentral:sRNA from 1 species
CAGACAAAGUAACCUAUACGGCGAAAUCCGUCAGAGUGGAGAGAAGGAGUGCAUGACCGUCCCGAAAGGGUAAAUAUGUGUCCCGAUAGGUGCGGGCGGACGCUGCUUGCAUGGCGGUGCUUGGUGGUGAUGCGCCGUUCCAUGCCCGGUCACCUUAUACGGCUACUGCAACCAUCCGACAGCCGGACGGGACA